UACGUAGGGUGCAAGCGUUAAUCGGAAUUACUGGGCGUAAAGCGCACGCAGGCGGUCUGCCAAGUCGGAUGUGAAAUCCCCGGGCUUAACCUGGGAACUGCAUCCGAAACUGGCAGGCUAGAGUCUUGUAGAGAGGGGUAGAAUUCCAUGUGUAGCGGUGAAAUGCGUAGAGAUGUGGAGGAAUACCGGUGGCGAAGGCGGCCCCCUGGACAAAGACUGACGCUCAGGUGCGAAAGCAUGGGGAGCAAACAGG
rnacentral:rRNA from 1 species